AACUAAAAACUCCAGGCCUACCCACUGCCAGGGGGUUUUCAAAGAAGAGACCCAUGCCUGGGUUUCCCAUGUGCAAGAUCUGCAGCUGUUCUUAGCAGCCAGCAUCUGUCUCAGGGAUCUUGAGGGACACUGGGGUGCUGGGAUGAUAGGCCUGUGGCAAUAUGUCUUGUUUCCAUGGUGAUGGAGACUGAACCCAGGGGUUUGUGCAUACCAGGCAAGCACUCUGCCAUCUCUUCUUUCAGAGCUUUGGUUUACUGUCUUGGACUUUACAAAUGGGACAAACAAUACAUCCCAUAAUACAUGCAUGAACCCAGGACCACCUGCCCCAGGCUGUCACUGCCCAGAGUGGACUGGGCCCUCCUAUGUCAAUCGUUAAUCAAGAGAAGGAGCUUGGGACUAUUUGGAGAAUUAAAGAUCCAAGUUGC
rnacentral:lncRNA from 1 species